rnacentral:rRNA from 1 species
GGGGGGAGCAAGCGUUGUUCGGAUUUACUGGGCGUAAAGGGCGCGUAGGCGGCCUCCGCAAGUCAGUUGUGAAAUCUCCGAGCUUAACUCGGAAAGGUCAACUGAUACUGCGGGGCUAGAGUGCGGAAGGGGCAACUGGAAUUCUUGGUGUAGCGGUGAAAUGCGUAGAUAUCAAGAGGAACACCUGCGGCGAAGGCGGGUUGCUGGGCCGACACUGACGCUGAGGCGCGAAAGCUAGGGGAGCGAACGGGAUUAGAUACCCCGGUAGUCCUAGCCUUAAACGAUGAAUGCUUGGUGUCUGGGGUUAUAUAGUCCCCGGGUGCCGUCGCUAACGCUUUAAGCAUUCCGCCUGGGGAGUACGGUCGCAAGACUG